rnacentral:tRNA from 1 species
UAUCUCAGUUGGUAAAGAAUCUGCCUGCAAUGCAGGAGACCCUGGUUUGAUUCCUGG